AAUCAGGCGUUACUUUGCGGAAAUCCAUAUUAAUUAAAACCAAAAUAUUACUUUGCUAAUCCGCGAAAAAGUAACGUGCUAGUCAAUCAGUGCUAAACCGUUAUACUUACUUGCGUAUUUUUACAUGCAAUUAAUGUU